GGUCAAGCGAACAAGUGCAUGUGGUGGAUGCCUUGGCGAUCACAGGCGAUGAAGGACGCGGUAGCCUGCGAAAAGCGGAGGGGAGCUGGCAAACGAGCUUUGAUCCUCCGAUAUCCGAAUGGGGAAACCCGGCCCGUAUGGGUCAUCCGUAACUGAAUACAUAGGUUACGUGAAGCGAACGCGGUGAACUGAAACAUCUAAGUAACCGCAGGAAAAGAAAUCAACCGAGAUUCCCAGAGUAGUGGCGAGCGAAAUGGGACCAGCCUGUACUCUUUAUCUUCAUUGUUAGUCGAAGGCUCUGGAAAGUGCCGCCAUAGCAGGUGAUAGCCCUGUAGACGAAAACAGCGAGGAAGAACUAGGUGUACGGAAAGUAGGGCGGGACACGUGAAAUCCUGUCUGAAGAUGGGGGGACCAUCCUCCAAGGCUAAAUACUCGUGAUCGACCGAUAGUGAACCAGUACCGUGAGGGAAAGGCGAAAAGAACCCCGGGAGGGGAGUGAAAUAGAUCCUGAAACCGCAUGCAUACAAACAGUCGGAGCCUCUGCGAAGGGGUGACGGCGUACCUUUUGUAUAAUGGGUCAGCGACUUACAUUCAGUGGCAAGCUUAACCGAUUAGGGCAGGCGUAGCGAAAGCGAGUCCGAACAGGGCGAUUCAGUCGCUGGGUGUAGACCCGAAACCAGGUGAUCUAUCCAUGGCCAGGAUGAAGGUGCGGUAACACGUACUGGAGGUCCGAACCCACUAACGUUGAAAAGUUAGGGGAUGAGCUGUGGAUAGGGGUGAAAGGCUAAACAAACCUGGAAAUAGCUGGUUCUCUCCGAAAACUAUUUAGGUAGUGCCUCGUGUAUCACCUUCGGGGGUAGAGCACUGUCAUGGUUGUGGGGUCCAUUGCGGAUUACUACGCCAUAGCAAACUCCGAAUACCGAAGAGUGCAAUCACGGGAGACAGACAUCGGGUGCUAACGUCCGGUGUCAAGAGGGAAACAACCCAGACCGCCAGCUAAGGUCCCCAAAUAUUGCUAAGUGGGAAACGAAGUGGGAAGGCUAAAACAGUCAGGAGGUUGGCUUAGAAGCAGCCAUCCUUUAAAGAAAGCGUAAUAGCUCACUGAUCGAGUCGUCCUGCGCGGAAGAUGUAACGGGGCUAAGCAAUAUACCGAAGCUGCGGAUGCACAUUUAUGUGCAUGGUAGGAGAGCGUUCCGUAAGCCUGCGAAGGUGCAUUGAAAAGUGUGCUGGAGGUAUCGGAAGUGCGAAUGCUGACAUGAGUAGCGAUAAAGGGGGUGAAAGGCCCCCUCGCCGUAAGCCCAAGGUUUCCUACGCAACGUUCAUCGGCGUAGGGUGAGUCGGCCCCUAAGGCGAGGCAGAAAUGCGUAGCUGAUGGGAAGCAGGUUAAUAUUCCUGCACCAUUGUUAAAUGCGAUGGGGGGACGGAUCGCGGAAGGUUGUCCGGGUGUUGGAAGUCCCGGUCCUUGCAUUGGAGAAGGCGCUCAGGCAAAUCCGGGCGCGGAAUUCAAGGGUGCGAGGCCAUUCACUUAGGUGAAGAAGCAAUCGGAAGUGGUUCCAAGAAAAGCCUCUAAGCUUCAGUUUAACAGGACCGUACCGCAAACCGACACAGGUGGGCGAGAUGAGUAUUCUAAGGCGCUUGAGAGAACUCGGGAGAAGGAACUCGGCAAAUUGGUACCGUAACUUCGGGAUAAGGUACGCCCCUGUAGCUUGAUGCCCCUGCGGGCAGAGGGUGAAGGGGUUGCAAUAAACUGGUGGCUGCGACUGUUUAAUAAAAACACAGCACUCUGCAAACACGAAAGUGGACGUAUAGGGUGUGACGCCUGCCCGGUGCCGGAAGAUUAAAUGAUGGGGUGCAAGCUCUUGAUUGAAGUCCCGGUAAACGGCGGCCGUAACUAUAACGGUCCUAAGGUAGCGAAAUUCCUUGUCGGGUAAGUUCCGACCUGCACGAAUGGCGUAACGAUGGCCACACUGUCUCCUCCCGAGACUCAGCGAAGUUGAAGUGUUUGUGAUGAUGCAAUCUCCCCGCGGCUAGACGGAAAGACCCCAUGAACCUUUACUGUAGCUUUGCAUUGGACUUUGAACCGAUCUGUGUAGGAUAGGUGGGAGGCUAUGAAGCGUGGACGCCAGUCUGCGUGGAGCCGUCCUUGAAAUACCACCCUGGUUUGUUUGAGGUUCUAACCUUGGUCCGUAAUCCGGAUCGGGGACAGUGCAUGGUAGGCAGUUUGACUGGGGCGGUCUCCUCCCAAAGUGUAACGGAGGAGUACGAAGGUACGCUAGGUACGGUCGGAAAUCGUGCUGAUAGUGCAAUGGCAUAAGCGUGCUUAACUGCGAGACCGACAAGUCGAGCAGGUGCGAAAGCAGGUCAUAGUGAUCCGGUGGUUCUGUAUGGAAGGGCCAUCGCUCAACGGAUAAAAGGUACUCUGGGGAUAACAGGCUGAUACCGCCCAAGAGUUCAUAUCGACGGCGGUGUUUGGCACCUCGAUGUCGGCUCAUCUCAUCCUGGGGCUGUAGCCGGUCCCAAGGGUAUGGCUGUUCGCCAUUUAAAGAGGUACGUGAGCUGGGUUUAAAACGUCGUGAGACAGUUUGGUCCCUAUCUGCCGUGGGCGCUGGAUAUUUGAAGGGGGCUGCUCCUAGUACGAGAGGACCGGAGUGGACGAACCUCUGGUGUACCGGUUGUCACGCCAGUGGCAUCGCCGGGUAGCUAUGUUCGGAAGAGAUAACCGCUGAAAGCAUCUAAGCGGGAAACUCGCCUUAAGAUGAGAUAUCCCCGGGGCUUCGAGCCCCUUGAAGGGUCGUUCAAGACCAGGACGUUGAUAGGUCAGGUGUGGAAGCGCAGUAAUGCGUUAAGCUAACUGAUACUAAUUGCCCGUAAGGCUUGAUCCU
rnacentral:rRNA from 1 species